rnacentral:rRNA from 1 species
GUCUAUGGUCAUGCCAUCUGAUCUUGGAAGCUAAGCAAGGUCAGGCCUAGUUAGUACUUGGAUGGGAGACCAUCUAUAAAGACCAGGUGCCGUAGGCA